UUGAAAGGGAAACGAUUGAAGUCAGUCGUACCGACGAGAAAUCAGCUCUUCGAGUGCGAACUUGUGGGCGUGCGUGAGUCUUUAACGGGCCUCGCUGUUUGCAAUUUUGUGCUUUUUGGGUGUACUUUUUCGUAUGGUAGGCCAACGUCAGUUUCGAUCACCGUAAAAUGAUCGGAGGAAUGUAGCUUCGAUCUCGUAUUGAAGUGUUAUAGCCUCUGGUAGAUGCGGUGACCGAAACUGAGGAUUGCAACGAAUACCCUUUUGGGCUAUCCGUCUGGCCUCUGAAAGUUGCUUAGGUGCCGAAAGCGUGCUUACGGCUAUUUAAGUUGACGGUCAACAGGCUAGAACGUGGUUACAUCGUUAAGGAUGUUGACGUA
rnacentral:rRNA from 1 species